UGAGUAACACGUGGAUAACCUACCUAUAAGACUGGGAUAACUUCGGGAAACCGGAGCUAAUACCGGAUAAUAUAUUGAACCGCAUGGUUCAAUAGUGAAAGACGGUUUUGCUGUCACUUAUAGAUGGAUCCGCGCCGCAUUGGCUAGUUGGUAAGGUAACGGCUUACCAAGGCAACGAUGCGUAGCCGACCUGAGAGGGUGAUCGGCCACACUGGAACUGAGACACGGUCCAG
rnacentral:rRNA from 1 species